UGAGAAUCCAUUGUGCUCUCUCUGGCAAUCUUGGGGGUAGGGAGCCAUCAAUUUCUUGUUUCACUUUUAUUACUUUUGGAAAGAGGAAGCGUUGUCUGUGUUUUUUGUGGUGCUAUAAAAUCAAAUUCAUAUUGCCCUGAGCCCCUACUAGAGGCUACACGGCGAAGUAGAGGUGCAGCUGGGGACACUGAAGAGCACUAGCUAUGGAUAGGAGUGGUUGAAAAAGCAACUGGAAACCACAGUGGAAUUGCUAACACAAGGUGGCUUGGCAUCAGUUACCUGGUGAAUGCUUGAGACCCGGAACAGGCCUUCUGAGUGACUUCAACAGCAAUAAUUCAGAAUACACUCCAUGCUUCAGUAAUGCAGAUCUGAAGGAAGCGGGAACUCAGACCGACCGACUGAUUUGAGGCUGUGUGGUUCAGUCCAAAAUUUAGCCGUGCAUGGAAUUUCAUUAAACAUGGAGCGCAUGGUUUUGAUACAAUCCCCACUUUGUCCUCCACCCACACCACUGCUUUCUAAAUGAGUUUGGUUGAGAGCAAUCUAUUAAUCCUUCAACGAUGAGAAAGAAAAGCAAUGGAAAAUCUGGCAAAAUGAAUUGUAUAUGAGUCAAUGCUUGGACUCCUGGAAGUGGAAGACGUGCAGAAAGAAAAAACCCGUCUUUCAGCAAAUUGAGAGCAUUGAUUGAGCUCUGCAAGGAAGAAUUUCUUUUUAAUUUUUCUUUUUUGAUAGAUGUCGGAGAUAUUGAAGUAAAGACAAUAAAUAAAUAACAUUGAGCAAGGAAUCAUUUCUACCAAUGGCGGCAUUAAAACUUUUACUGUGACUGCGUGUGGAAUAGGUAUGAGGGACUCUCUAAGGAGAUUAGCUAAGGAUGACAGAAGCCCUGGUUUGCGAUGAUGUAUAUACAGUUUACCAACACCCUUAGCCAAUACUGUGUGCAUAACCAGUGCCCGCCAAAGCCAAAGCACCCUGGGACUCGCUGUUGUGCAGGUGACAGUUCCAGGUGCCAGGCACCACUGGCACACCCUUAGCCUGCAAUGGCUGAAGGCAAUGGCUCUCUCAGGUCCCAUGGGGACCUUUCUCUCCGUUGUCAUGGCUGUCACAGCUACACCUCCUCUCUGUCCCCUGCGGUUGGAGCUGGAAUGCUCUUGUUGACAUACCAGAGCUUUGCCCCUAACUGGAAAAACUUCUGUGCGUCUGAGCGCAGUCACAUCAAGUUUCUAAUUCCACGUCUGGUUUCAUUAACUGUAUUCCAAUUACUCUAGGGACUGCUUUCCCUAAUUUACUCCUACUCGGCUCUGUGCAACGGCUAGAACUUCUCUUAGGUACUUCCGCAUCGGGACGCUCUUUGUGUCUUCUUUCU
rnacentral:lncRNA from 1 species